rnacentral:rRNA from 1 species
UACGUAGGGCGCAAGCGUUGUCCGGAAUUAUUGGGCGUAAAGAGCUCGUAGGUGGCUUGUCACGUCGGGUGUGAAAGCUUGGGGCUUAACUCCAGGUCUGCAUUCGAUACGGGCUGGCUAGAGGUAGGUAGGGGAGAACGGAAUUCCCGGUGUAGCGGUGAAAUGCGCAGAUAUCAGGAGGAACACCGGUGGCGAAGGCGGUUCUCUGGGCCUUACCUGACGCUGAGGAGCGAAAGCGUGGGGAGCGAACAGG